UUCAAUCUGGUCAUCAAGAUUUGCGUGUCGUGUGCGUACAAACGUCCAAUCGAAGACUUGGGACGGUGCUCCUAUCCCUGGAUAGACGUUACACGAGUCUUCUCUUGUUUCUUCCUCGUAAUUUCUUUUAGAUUACGGAUGAUGUUGCUUUUGUCGUCAAAGCGAAGGGUGUUUGGUUGUCAAAGUCGCCACCUUUGCCCGCAAUCCAUGGUGUUCACGACCGGAAGGGUGUUUGGCAGCUCCUGUUUCCUGACCUCGCGCUUCACAGGCGGUUGAGGGAUUCUAAAUGACGUUUUGGUCAUCCACACCGUCGUCAUAACGCUGGCAUCUUUUUCAACAGCAACACUGUCGUCAAUGAUGUUUUCGCGAGGUUGAGAAUCCCUACUGCGAGUUGGCUUAAUUUUCAUGUCAAAAGUCCGGGGUGGGGGGCGGCAGUAGCUCCUCUAUAAAUAGGUAGCUCGAUCCUCCACUUGUGCCAUCGUCUCAUCUCCUCCUGCUCGCUACUAAUUAAGCUUCUUCCAAGAUGAAGUCCUCGGUUGUGUUCUUCUGCGUGAUCGCGGCCCUGCUCCUCCUCCGCGCCCCGACAUCGGUGGAAGCGGCGACGUGCAACCCAACGGAGCUGACGCCCUGCGCGGCGGCCAUCUUCAACUCUUCGCCGCCCAGUAGUCUGUGCUGCUCCAAGCUCAAGUCUCAGGCGCCUUGCUUCUGUCAGUACCAGAAGAACCCCAGCUUGAGCAGAUACAUCAGCGGGGGACGGAAGGUGGCCGCAGCUUGUGCCGUACCAGUUCCAAGCUGCUGACUCCGCUCGUACCCUCCAAGGAUCUUAUAUAUGCCUACUAUAUCCAUGCAUCGUGGUCAUGAAUAAGAAACACCGUCAGCGGUCAGUGCCCGCGUGACACUCACCGUGAACGUCGAUGUCCGCUAUUUGUUUGUGUCGUUACUUCAGUCAAGAUAUAUGGAGGCCGGCUUUAUGAGUA